ACAUAAUCUCAAACACAUAAAAUAAUUUUUAAAACUACCCUACGUAUUAAAUUUCACCUGCGCUAGAUCAUCCCAGUUUAUUUUAUACCACUGGUUCCUAGGUCAAGGCCUUAAAUAAUGAUGAGGCUUUUUAGAACGCCUCUCAAUUAAAAACGAAGAGGGGGGAAGGAGAGGGAGAAGGGAGAAGGAGAAGAAGCCUUAAUCCAAAGUGUGUUUUCACUGAAAGCUUAGAUAAGCUAAUUUAUUCUAAGAACAAAUCCAUAAUUCCUUAUCUAAUGCCUUAAGAUCAUGUGUCUCCAAAAUCAUAUCUUUUCAGAUUUUGUGGAGAAAAUUCAAUGCUGGCACUAUUUAUUACAUAGCUCUCCACCGGACCUUGGCAGUGCCUCAAACACAUUAAUUCCUUUAUUACACCAGUAAUGACAGACAGCCUCUGGUCAAUUUUUCCACCAAGUAAUUUCCUGGAAACUUAUAUGAAAACUCAAAGUUUCCAGAACAUUUAUUUUAGAACUGUGACUAACGGGUUGUGAGCUUGUUCAGAUGUACUGUCUUGUUUCUUCUCUCAACAACAUGAUAAGUGCAUAAUGUAUAGAUGAAUAGAGCAACAGUGUGUGAUGUGUUCAUGCUCCCAUAGCUAAGUGGUAAUGCCAUCUUUUGAAUGUAGUUGGGGCUUGUAAUUCUGUGAUGAAACACUAUGACCAUAAACAACUUGGGGAGGAAAGGGGUUAUUUUAUCUUACAGCUUACAGUCCAUCAUGACAGGACAUCAGGGCCGGAACACAAGCAAGAAUCUAAAGGCAGGAGCUGAAGCAGAGGACAUGGGGGAAUGCAUAUUGGCUUGCUCCCCUCCAUAGCUUUCUCAGCCUGCAUUCUUUUAAGCACCCAGGACCACUUGUCCAGGGUUGGCACCAACCACAAUGAGCACUACCCCCAGGCCCAUCUGAUGGAACCCUUUUCUCAAAUGAGGUUCUUCUCAAAUGAUACUAGCUCAUGCCAAGUUGACACAGCACUAGCCUACACACAAAAUUUAAAAUGUGCUCUCCUUGAAGAGUUUUCAAACUAUAGUAGCCCAACUCUCACUAACUGGAUUUAAGACCUUUGGAUGACCUUUUAGGGCACUACAACUCAGUUUGCUCCUCUUGCUGUGAGACCCCUGAAUAUCUAAAUCAUGUGGACCUACAGCCCAUUUUGGGCUUGGACUUUGGCCUUGUCUUCCCUAUGAUGUUUGAAAUCCUUUGAAAGAUUGUCACAUAUGUCACAUACAGUGUGAAUUUUUAAAAAUAGUAUUUUUGUAAAGUGUAAUGUAGGCUUUUUUAAAUCCAGGUUUCUCUCACAAGUCUUUUUAGAUUGUUAAUGGUUCCCCUUGUCUUUGAAGGUCUUUCAGUUAACGCCACAUAAUUACAAUUUGUUUUAGUUUUUUUUUCUUCUUUCUCAUUUCUCUUCCCCUGUUUCUCUAACUCCCCCAGUCAUGCCCUGAUUCUUGGGGGGGGAGGGGAGGUGGGAUAUCAAAUUUCUAAGUUUAUUACUUUCACCGUUUAGGCAAUUCUUUUUUGGUUCUUAAUAUCUAUGUCUUCAAAUAUAUCUUUUAGUAACUAAUUAAAAUAUUUUUGACAU
rnacentral:lncRNA from 1 species